rnacentral:rRNA from 1 species
AAGUAGGGGAUCGCAAGACCUUACGCUUUUGGAGCGGCCGAUGUCUGAUUAGCUAGUUGGUGAGGUAAAGGCUUACCAAGGCUACGAUCAGUAGCUGGUCUGAGAGGACGACCAGCCACACUGGGACUGAGACACGGCCCAGACUCCUACGGGAGGCAGCAGUGGGGAAUUUUGGACAAUGGGCGAAAGCCUGAUCCAGCCAUGCCGCGUGAGUGAAGAAGGCCUUCGGGUUGUAAAGCUCUUUCAGCCGGAACGAAACGGUUACGAUUAAUACCUGUAACUAAUGACGGUACCGAAAGAAGAAGCACCGGCUAACUACGUGCCAGCAGCCGCGGUAAUACGUAGGGUGCGAGCGUUAAUCGGAAUUACUGGGCGUAAAGGGUGCGCAGGUGGUUUUGUAAGUCAGAUGUGAAAUCCCCGGGCUUAACCUGGGAACUGCGUUUGAAACUACAAAGCUAGAGU